rnacentral:rRNA from 1 species
GAUGAACGCUGGCGGCGUGCCUAAUACAUGCAAGUCGAGCGAACAGACGAGGAGCUUGCUCCUCUGACGUUAGCGGCGGACGGGUGAGUAACACGUGGAUAACCUACCUAUAAGACUGGGAUAACUUCGGGAAACCGGAGCUAAUACCGGAUAAUAUAUUGAACCGCAUGGUUCAAUAGUGAAAGACGGUUUUGCUGUCACUUAUAGAUGGAUCCGCGCCGCAUUAGCUAGUUGGUAAGGUAACGGCUUACCUAGGCAACGAUGCGUAGCCGACCUGAGAGGGUGAUCGGCCACACUGGAACUGAGACACGGUCCAGACUCCUACGGGAGGCAGCAGUAGGGAAUCUUCCGCAAUGGGCGAAAGCCUGACGGAGCAACGCCGCGUGAGUGAUGAAGGUCUUCGGAUCGUAAAACUCUGUUAUUAGGGAAGAACAAAUGUGUAAGUAACUAUGCACGUCUUGACGGUACCUAAUCAGAAAGCCACGGCUAACUACGUG